UGUCCCCCCCCCCCCCCCCCCCCCCAAUAAAAAAAGGCCAAGAAUAUUAAGUGCAGACAGCUGUGUCUUUCUGCAUGUGAUUUCCUUUGGACUUUAAUAUCAGCAAUUCAUUGGAAGACAGGGAAGCUUGCCAGCAAAAGCUGUAAAAAAACUGUCCAAAUGAAACCUAAGCGUGCGUUUGCUUGACUUGAUGUUAAGUUUUAUCGUUUAUGCGACGCCACAUUUGACCAUUUCCAGCUGGAAUUCCAUGGCGCUAUUGAUGUCUCCGAUAAGUUGUCGGAUUUUAAAGAAACGGUUGAGAUAAAGGAUGUAAUGAUUUCCCUUAUCUUAGCCAGGAUAUAGUCGUGAGCCAGUAGGCUAUCUAAUCUGCAUCUCUUCCAAUCUCCUUUUUUUCUUACUGUUCAGUUGUUCUGCUCUACAUCGAUCGUUGUUUCCAUGGAGGAAAUGUUUCUUGAUCCAAUUAUGGAGAAGAUCAUCAGCGCUGGCUUCCGUAACAACUCGAACGGAUUCAGUUGCACUCAUGUUUUCUAAUGCAAUUAAAAAGGAGGAAAUAGUUAAAUUAGAAGGCCUGGAGGAAGAUGAGUGCUUGCAGCUCCUCAACUCUCAUGCAUUUGCUGGUGUAGAGAACCCCCCUAAUGAUCAUAAAAAAAUUAAGAACCAUUGUUGGAGAGAGAGUUAAAAAGCUUUUAGGAUCUGCAUUGGCAGCUAAAGUAAUUGGUGGUGUUCUGAAGGACAACUUGGAUGAAAGGCAUUGGAGGAGAGUUCUAGAAAGCAAUUUAUUGAAUCAGAAUUCUAUCAAUUCCAUCUUAAGACUGAGCUAUAUAGUUCUGCCAAAUCAUCUACAAAAUUGUUUUGCAUUUUGCUGUAUGUUCCCAUAAGAUAAUGAGUUUAAUAAAGAUCAUUUAGUCUGAAUGUGGAUUGCAUUGGAUUUCAUUCAGCCAUCUCAAAGAAUGAUUUUGGAGGAUAUCGGAAGAAGAUAUUUUGAUGUUUUAGUCAAAAAAAGCUUUAUGAUGAAGAGUGAUCUCUAAAAAUUUUUGAGACUACUCGACAUUUGUUUGUUCUAACUAAAAAUUCAGACAUCUUAAAAAAAAUUGAGAAGUUUAAAUAUUUGCAUUUGCUUUUCUUGUUCUAUGGAAAUUUUAAUCAGGAUCUCAGCAGUGCACUUAUUGAAAUAUUUAAAGCAUCGAGAUACUUUUUAUUAUACAUAUUUACUGAUGAAUUGGAAAUGAUACCUGAGGAGAUUAAAUAUUUAAAAUUUGAAGAUUGAAAGAGUUGAAGUCUCUAGGCUACCAAGAUCUCUAAGUAAUCUCUAUUACUUGCAAUACAUAAUCUACGAUAAUUGGACGCCAACACGGCUUAAAGUUGAUGGAUUUUUACCAAGUGACAUUAAUAACCUUUCUAAUUUGCGUUACCUUGACUUUUCUGGGAAUUAUAUUUCAUCGAUAUAUGGGAUUGUGAAGCUAAACUCUCUUCUAGAAUUGUAUUGGUUUGAUCUUAGAAAUGAGAUGGGCUAUAGAAUUGAUGAGUUGAAGUAUUUGAAUGAUCUUUGCAAAUUAGGAAUCAACUGCCUUGAAAGUGUGAAGGACGCCAAGGAGGCUUAUCUUCAGUUCAGAUACUAUCUAUUCAUAACGUUCCUAUGCUUUGUUCUGAAAGUUAGGUCUUCUCCUUGUGAGCUGGAAUUUGGUCAGCUCAAAUCUUUACAGUCUCUACCUUCCUCCUUGGAAAUCUUUUCUUCACUUCAGAAAUUAUCUAUUACAAAUUGCCCUAAUCUGAUCUCUCUCGGAAGAUAUCGAGAAGUGGGGACCACUAAUAAUUUCCAUCUCAUGCUCAGCGAUCUUAGCAUAAGUGAUCCAUUGGUGUUGCUAAUGGAGCCCUUGAGAAGUAUCGCCACCUUAAAAAAGCUGAGUAUUUGGUCAAAUGGUAAUCUGGUUUCAUUUUCAAAUGAGGAGGAGCAGUGGUUUCUAAAAGUUAGGUCUUCUCUUUCCUAGCUGCAAUUUUUCUUUCUCAAAUCCUUACAUUCUCUCCCUUCCUCCUUGGAAAGCUUAUCUUCAGUUCAGAUACUAUCUAUUCAUGACGUUCCUAUGCUUAUGGAAUUACCAAACCUUCCUCCCUUUUUGAAUGAUCUAACAAUUAGGGAAUGUCAUCCAGAGGUAUUUGAGCGCUAUGGAGAGGAUGGAGGCUCCGAUCGGCAAAAGAUUGCUCAUAUUCCUGAUAUAUAUAUUAAGUGCUCGUAUUAGGUCCAAUUGCUUUAAGGAAAUUUCAAAAUACAAAAGCAAACUUCUUUCUUCUUAUCUUAUUUGUUUGAUAUGGAAUAUGAAGAAUACAAUCUCAACAUUAACCAGUUUGUAUCACUUGAUCGAUGCACUCAAUUUUAUUUAUUUAUGCCUUGGUGGUCUUUUUAUAUAUAAAUAUAUUCUUCUUUAAAAUCUAAAUAGUUGUGUCAAAAUUUAAUUAUUUGGUUUUUUUUUUCUUAUUGAUUUGUCCAAAUGAAGCAAUCAUUGAACAAUGAUAAUUGCCUUCUCUACUUUUCUUCUUGGGAAGUUAGACAAGUCAUUGUUAACGGUAGUUGGUGUCUCCCCACCGCUUUUCCCCACACUAUCAUCAAUGAAAUUAUAGCAAUCCCUAUUGCUGACCAUUCUGUGGAACUAUGGCUUGGUGAUAGAAAUCUUAAUUUCAAAGAUUUCUAUUCGCAGUACUCUUCUCAGCCUCUGGUUAGUUGGAAAAAAUUCACUUGGCAUAAAAAAUCUUCCCUUCAUUUCUCCGUGCAUGCUUGGCUGACAUUCAAAGGAGCCCUCAAAACUGCUGACGUUCUAGCUUAUAGAGGUCUGCAUACUAUGAAGCACUGUCCGUUCUAUUUUGCCGAACAAGAGACCCAUGCUGAUUUAUUUUUCGAAUGUGUUUUCACUUUCUCUGUUAUUAAGAGAUCUCUUCCUUGGCUUGGUUUGCUUCUUAUGCGUCCUAACCUGCACUAGGUUUUCGGUAGUAUUAUUGAGCAGGGGUUCCCUACCUCUUGUAUAAAUUUUUACUCCCUUCGUGGGCUGUCAUUUAUCAGAUUUGGAGUGCAAGGAACCACAAAAUUUUUGGCGGAUCAUUUGAUUGCCAUGCCACAAUUAUUUUUAAAAUCAGGAAAGCUGUUAUGACUAAGUUUGCUUUAUGGAAAGACUAGCAUGCUUGUUAUUAUUAGUUGCUUCAGUAGUACGGAUGUUCUGGGAGGUUUCUGUGUUGACUUGCCAAUAUUUGGACCCUCGUUGUUUGCUGCUUUUGCUUCUCAAUUGGUGCGCGGGGUGUUAUUUUUGAGAAAGAUAAUGAUGAAUGCUCUUGUUAGCUUGUUGCCCCUUGGAUGGCUUUUGGCAACCAGGGACACAGACUCUGUUUUCUUUUUGACAGCCUUCUCGUCUCGACUUUUGCAUCCAAGUCCUUGCUGCUUAGCAUUUUUUCCAUUUUCACUUUUUUAAUUCCAAGGUGUUCUUUUUUGUUUUUGAGCGCCUUGGUUUACUUUCUAAAUUAUUACCUUUUUUUAAUGAUACAGGCUUUGCCCCUAACCCCCCCCCCCAACACCAAAAAAAAAAAAAAAACCCUAAAAAAAAAAAAAUCCUUACAGACAAAUCACAGAAAAUGUGCGUAAAAUACGCUGCAGCUUCGUGUUCCCAUCUAAAUCAAACUACUCUUUUAUUUUGAAAUACAUUCAUUUUCUUUUUGUAAAACGGAGACGUCAGUCAACUUACCGACUACGAGGCAACUUCGUCUAUUCUCUCAGUUAAUCUCGGUUUACUUGACUUAUGUUGUACGUGACCAUUUCUGGCUGGAGUUCUCUCUCUUCCGAGCUCUGUUUCUCCUGUUGUUUAGUUGUUCUGCUCUCUCUACCUCAUUCGUCGCUGCGAAGGAGGGAUUUUUUGUUGGUCCAUUCAUGGAAAAAAUCAUCAACACUUGCUCUGAUUACCUUAAACAUCAAUUCAGAUGGUAGACAGGCAUGAACCAGAAGCUUGAAAGGCUGCGAGAGAACCACCCCAAGAUCCAAGCUGUCUUCUUUGCAGCUAACCAACCACAAAUUAGCGAUCAGAACCCAUCUAUCAACAAAUGGAUAUGGCAGCUGCGAGAUGCUAUUGAUGGGCAGAUGAUGUGCUCGAUGAGUUUGAGUACAUGAAGCAUUAGCAAAAGCUCCCCAAAAACACUAAAGAAACAAAGCUAACCAACCACAAAUUUGCGAUCAGAACGGCUAUCAACAAAUGGAUAUGGCAGCUGCGAGUUGCUAUUGAUGGGCAGAUGAUGUGCUCGAUGAGUUUGAGUACAUGAAGCAUAAACAAAAGUUCCCCAAAAACAUGAAAGAAACAAAGAAACGAAAGGUCACGAGUUUCCUAUUUGAAAUCCUCGUAAAAUUCUCAAAAUUGGCGAAUGACUCAAAAAGGGAUCCCAACUUUUAAGUGACUGAAGGAGGCUGUGCAGAAACUUGAUAAAGUUUCGGCUGAUGUUACCACUUUCCAUCAUCUUUUAGACAGCGCGAAGCAGGAAUAGAAUGAGCAGGAGGUUGAUUUCUACAAAACACAUGAAACAAGAUAUUUGCCUAAAAAUGAUCUCAUCGGGCAGCGCAAGGAGAAGGAGCUUGUUAUGGAGUGGCUGAGGAAUCCUUCAAAUGACUAUCAAACUACUUUGUAGGGUAACAUUUCAAUAACUCUUCAACACCCCAAACAUUUCCCCCCACUCACUUAACCACUUGCCUGUUGGCAGCUCAAUUCCCAUUUACCUUCUCCCUUCCCUUAAAAGGGGUUUUUCUUUCUGCCUCUACAUCCUCUAUCCUGGACCUGAUGGCUACACCUUUGAAUUUUUCAAAAGCACAUAGGAUGUUACUGGACAACAGGUUUGUUGUACUAUUUUAAACUUUUUCCAAAAAGGCCGCAUUCCAAAAGGUUCCAAAUCCACUACAAUCACUCAAAUCCCAAAAAAAUCCCGUGCAUCUUUUAUCUCCGAUUUCCAUCCAAUCUCCUAAUGUAAUUUAUUUUAUAAGAUUAUUACUAAGAUUAUUGCCAACAGGAUGAAAUGUGUUAUGCCUCACAUUAGCUAAUGAGGCCCUCUCUGAAUUCAAUUCUCAUGGAGCUCAAAAUCUUUUUUGUGCAGAGUUUGAUAUCUUCAAAGCAUUCAAUACAGUGUCAAGAGAAUUCUUGAUUUGUAGGCUCUUACAAAAAGGUUUUCCUAGCACUUUUGUUUCAUGAUCAAAGGCAUGUAUUAUGGAUGUGAAUUUCUCUAUUUGUUUCAAUGGAGCCCUUGAGGGCUAUUUUAGCUCCACCUUUGGCCUUAGGCAGGGAUGGCCCUUUUUGCAUAGCUAUGAAUGCUUUGUCUUGCCUUUUAGAUAAAGCUGUGCUGGAUUCUUCCUUCAAAGUCAUAUCUAAAGGCUACUCUCAACUGACCCAUUUAAUAUACGUUGAUGAACUGCUGGUCUUUGGGUAGGUUACUACUCAAAAUGCAAUCUCCCUAAACAAUAUCCUUAAUGUUUUUGCUAAUUCCUCUGGGCUUCACAGGAACCGGGCAAAAAGUUCUAUUUUGUUUUCAAAAAAUGCUACUUCCUUCCCUGCUAUUUAUAGUCUGUUAAACAUCCCUCUCCCUCUAAAAAUUCACCUACCUUGGCCUCCCCAUUUCUCCUUACAGGCUGAUUUCCUUUUGACUUACAACCUCUUCUUCAAAUAGUAUCUUGAUUAUUAGAUGGUUAGAAAGCUCUAACUUUUGUCUUUUGCUGGGAGACAUCAGUUCUUAAGGUUUACUAUCUAUAACACUAUUGCUGAUUGAUUAAGAGGAGUUAUUAUACCUAAAGCUGGGAUUAAAUUCAUAAACAAGGUAUAAUCCAGAUUUCUUUUUCAUGGUUUUUCUUCGGGGGAAAAAAUUACAUAUCUUUUUGAAAGAUUUUUGUAAACUCAGAUGGUUUGGGGGUCUGGGUAUACUGGCGAUUCCUUCUUUGUACAAUGGCUUUUGCUGCUCUUUAAUUUGGCAUAUUAUUAAUGGGAGCAAUCUCUUGUCUUAUUGGCUGAAGCUCAAGUACAAAUCUCCUUGGAAGCAUCCUCCUAAUAGAGCUUCCAAAUGCUGGAAGCUUCUUUGCUUGGUGGCUUUGAAGAUAAAAGGAUUUAUGAACAAAGACUAUGAUGAAUGUGGAUUUUAACCAUCAUCUUGCUUUUGCUACUUGGAAGGUCUUUCUUUUCGCAACAAGGGGCCUUUCCUCGCCUUGGAAGGCCCACUCGGAAACUGGGGGAACUGACAUCCACAUGAUAAUAUCCAAUUUUUGGGUUAAUUUCAUUUUGUACAUUCUAAGUCCUUUAAGUUUUGCUGUUACUUGUUCCCCAUAUCUCUUAUGUCUCCUGUUUCUUUCCUUCCAGGUUUUGGCUGUUUUUUAGUUUUAGGAUCACUUAUAUGUGCUCUUUGGGAUUUUGAGCUCAUAAUUUUUUGGUUGCUCAGGUUACUGGUUUCAUUUGUUUUUUUUUUCUUUGAGCCAUGCUCUUUGUAAUUUUUCUUUAUACUAAAUGGAUUCGAACUAAGCCCCUAAUUUCUCCCCAAAAAAUAUCAAACAACUUUGUACUACAACAUUUCUCUGCCAUGCAUAGUGGGUCGUGGUGGUAUGGGGAAGACAACUCUCUUGCAACAUGUCUGUAAAAAUGAAAUCACAAAGGAAUUUGAUCAUAAAAAUGUGUGUUUCCCACAACUUUGAUAUGAAAAAUGUGGGGUUGUGUUUCCAACAACUUUGAUAUGAAAAAUAUGUGUUGGAAUCUCUUAAGGAGAGGCCUUGUUUGGAGACACUUGAGGCACUUCAAGAUAGUUUUCGGACUGAGAUGAUGUCCAAAAAGUUCUUAUUUGUGCUGGAUGACAUUUGGGAGAAUGAUGAGAAGCAGGAUAAAACUAAAUUGGAGGAAGUGCUUGCCCCUUUGGCUAUGGGAAUUUUGGUAUUAGGAUUUUGGUAACAACUCGAAUGGACUCAGUUGCAAUGAUGAUUGCAAAUGUCAUUUAAAAGAAGGAGAUAUUUAGGAUUUUUUUCGGAUAAGGGUGAGGAAGGAAUUUUGAUAUUUUAGUCAAAAAUCUUUCUUUGACUAGUUUGAAGAUUUAGAAUACUACAAAAAUCUAGAAUACUACAAGAUGCAUGAUUUACUAUAUGAGUUUGGCACAUAAUAUUUUUGCACAGGAAUGCCUCAAAGUUGUGGGUGAUGAAUUGUUUCCUCUUGUAAUUCUUGGGCCCUUCGACACUUGUCUGUUCCAACUUCAAAUCUAGGCAAUCUUAAGAAAGAUAGGGAAGUUUAAAUAUUUGCAUUUUCUUUUCUUGUUUUGGUACUGUGAAACUUUUAAUUAGGAUAUUUGCAAUAAGACCACCUUUAGAUAAACCAGUAGUCAUUCUAAACCAGCAGUCAUUCUAAAGAAAAUCAUUAGAAGACCAUUUGUAGAUAGUCCAAUAAAUCUUAUUAACAUGCAACCAUACGUAAAUAUCAACCAGAAUGAAGGCAAUUUCACAAACUUCUGUAGCAGUAAUAAUUAGACAUUAACCAAAGAAAAAGAAAACAAACCAAGCAACAUGGAUUAAUAUACAAGGAGCUGCAGUUGUAAUUUCAAAGACCACCAGGAUCUCGCUUUUGGUAAUUGAAUUAUAUAUUUAUAUUAUUAGUAUUAAAUACGCAUUAAUUGAGUUUGAUUAAAUCUCGUUUUUGACAUAGAUUUGAAAAAAAAACUUAUUUGGAAAGAAUUAUAAAUAAGUUUUAAUAAGAUUUAAAAUCUGGUAAUGUUUAAAUUUGAUUCAAAUUUGAUAAGAAAAUAAAUGGUUUAACUUGAAUAUUAUAGUAUUAAGGUCAAUUUAGAUUAUUUAUAGCCUUAAGCUUCAACCCCAAUAAUAAAAUGAAUUCACUGGGAGCAUAAUUUGAUAAUAUAUUUAUCUCAAAAUAAUGUAAUAGCUAUAAAAAUCAUCUCGAUGAAAUUUAAGUUUUUCCCCCUUCUUUUUGGUUAGCUCCUAACACCUUUAUUAAAAAGUACAAAUGAGAUUGCAUGUAUCUUUAAAAUAAAUAAAUCAAUAAAGAAAAUUAAUACGAAAGUUGUUGAAAUUGCAAAAAUUUUAAUGAUGGCUUAGUGGCAUAUAUAAAUAUAUAUACAAUAAAUAUGGAUUAUCAAAAAGAAAAAAAAAUCAUAGGUUAAAGAUGACUUAUCAUUCAAAAUUCAUAGAAAGAAGUUUGCUUAUGUAUUUUGAAAUUUUCCUUAAAGCAGUCGGAUAUGAGGAAUGCAAGCAAUGUUGUGCCAAUCGGGAAUGCAAGCAAUCUUGUGCCAAUCAGAAACUCCAUUCAUUCGAAUGCGCUCCUUUUAACUCUGGAUGACAUUGAUGAAUUGUUAGAAAUUUCAAAGAGGGAGAAAGGUUUGGUAAUUCUCGAAGCAUAGGAACUUCAUAAAUAUAUAGUGAGUGGAGAGAAGAAUGGGUAGGAAGCAAAGAAUUCAGGUACUGCAAUGAUUCGAGACGGACAAGAUUUAAUUUCUCCAGAGAGGCAGCUGAGGAACAUCAUCUACACGUGAUUUCUGAAGUGAAGAUAAGCUUUCCAAGGAGGAUGGGAGAGACUGUAAGGAUUUGAGCUGUUCAAAUUUCAGCUCACAAGAGAUGAACUAACUUUCUAACUUUCAGAAACCACUGCUCUGCCUUAUUUGGAAAUGAUACCAGCUCAUCAUUCUCCUCAAUACUAAGCUUUUCUAAGGAGGCGAUACUUCUCAAUGGCCCCAUUAGCAACACUGAUGGUUCACUUAUGUUGAGACCGCUGAGUAUGAGAUGGCAAUUAUUAGUUGUCUGCACUUCUCGAUGUCUUCCGAGAGAGAUUAGAUUGGGGCAAUUUUUAAUUUUCAAGUAGCUGCGAAUCUUUUGCUAUUUCAUCAGCUAGAAGAAGAGUUGUGAAGUUUCUGUAGCGAGUGACCUCUAAUGUUUCAAGGGGAACAGAAUUUGAAAUGCUACCAAAAUUCGAAGUCUUCCACCUCAUAAUUCCUAUCUUCAAGCUCUUGAGCUUAGGAAGCAAUUGGGGCAACUCUUUCAACUUCGGGCAGUCAAUUAGCUCUAGUUCAAUUAAGCAAGGAAACAAACAUCCAUCUUCAAUUAAGCUACUCCUGCCUCAAAUUAAUCCUCUAAUGCUACAGGUGGUCUUCUAAUAAUUUGUUGUGAAUAUCUAUGAUUUAAGUGGAGUUUUUGUUUCAGCUACAUCUCUUAUUUUUGUGGGUUUUUUGUUUCUGUCUAGUGAAUGUCUCAGAUUUUUGUGUGGCACUGUCGGCUGACCAACUUAUCUCGAGGAACAUUCCUGCUCACUGUCUUUUUUGCAAUUGUAAUCUUGAAACUGCUUCUCACUUGUUCUUCAAGUAUGAUCUCUCUUUUAGCAUUUUAAAAGCUCUUUUUCCUGGGGCUGCUAUUUUCUUGCUUAGAUCUAACAUUAUAUAUGUUUUCAACGA